rnacentral:rRNA from 1 species
UACGUAGGCGGCGAGCGUUGUUCGGAAUUACUGGGCGUAAAGAGUGUGUAGGCGGUGCUCUAAGUUCGGUGUGAAAUCUCCUGGCUUAACUGGGAGGGUGCGCCGGAAACUGGAGUGCUUGAGCGUGGGAGAGGAAAGCGGAAUUCCUGGUGUAGCGGUGAAAUGCGUAGAUAUCAGGAGGAACACCUGUGGUGUAGACGGCUUUCUGGACCAUUGCUGACGCUGAGACACGAAAGCGUGGGUAGCAAACAGG